GUGCAUUUGGAUUAUGAAUGCUGUUUCCUCCAGUGGGUGACACCAAGCAGGUCCCGCAGGGAAAUCCAGGAAACGCUAACUUCUACUCAUUCUUCUUUCCUACCCCAGUUUUCUUGGUGGAUCAGUGUAGAAGGAAACUGCUUCUUUCAUUUCUCAGGAAGAACUGCUUUAAGAGGGGCAGAUGGGAGCACCUACGAAGUGAAAUACGGAAACUGUCUCUACAUGGCAGAAGCAUCUCCCUGGGUGCUGGUGAAUUUUAUACUUUUUAAAAGAUCAAUAAUGGAAUAUUUCCCAUUCCUGCAUGACCAGCUGACCUCUGAUGCCAGCUUUGAACAGCAUCAGCCACAGAUCCAGCUGAUGAAGGAGAAGAGUCCCCAUUAACAGA
rnacentral:lncRNA from 1 species